AUUGAACGCUGGCGGCCGGCCUAACACAUGCAAGUCGAACGAGUGGCGGACGGGUGUGUAAUGUCUGUGACACUGCCUGAUGGAGGGGGAUAACUACUGGAAACGGUAUCUAAUACCGCAUACCCUCCGAUUUGCCCAGAUGGGAUUAGCUAGUUGGUGGGGUAACGGCUCACCAAGGCGACGAUCCCUAGCUGGUCUGAGAGGAUGACCAGCCACACUGGAAAUGGGACAAGGGCCAGACGCCGACGGGAGGCAGUAGGGGGGAAGAUGGCAGAAUGGGUGAAAGCCUGAUGCAGCCAUGCCGCGUGUAGGAAGAAGUCAUUCGGUUUGCAAAGUACUUUCAGUGGUGAGGCGUUACACGUAGAAGAAGCACCGGCUAACGCCGUGCCAGCCGCCGCGGUAAGAC
rnacentral:rRNA from 1 species